UACGUAGGGUGCAAGCGUUAAUCGGAAUUACUGGGCGUAAAGCGUGCGCAGGCGGUUUUGUAAGUCAGAUGUGAAAUCCCCGGGCUUAACCUGGGAACUGCGCUUGUGACUGCACGGCUAGAGUACGGCAGAGGGGGGUGGAAUUCCACGUGUAGCAGUGAAAUGCGUAGAUAUGUGGAGGAACACCGAUGGCGAAGGCAGCCCCCUGGGCCGAUACUGACGCUCAUGCACGAAAGCGUGGGGAGCAAACAGG
rnacentral:rRNA from 1 species